rnacentral:snRNA from 1 species
GCCUUCGGGCAUUUGGUCAAUUUGAAACGAUACAGUAAGUUCACACCAAGCUCUAGUGUUCAAGCCCUAUAUUAACCAAUUCCACAGGAGAAGAUUAGCAUGGCCCCUGCACUAAGGAUGACACGCUCAAUCAAAGAGACGCUUCAAAUUUUU